rnacentral:tRNA from 1 species
CAAGAUAUAACUACAAUAUGAAGUAUUUCUUUUACAAGGAAAAAAGGUUUGUGAAAUUCAAAUUAUCUUGA